rnacentral:rRNA from 1 species
GACGAACGCUGGCGGCGUGCCUAACACAUGCAAGUCGAACGGGGUAAUUUCUUCGGAGAUUACUUAGUGGCGAACGGGUGAGUAACGCGUGAGAAACCUGCCUUUCAGUGGGGGACAACAGUUGGAAACGACUGCUAAUACCGCAUAAUGUUUCGAGAGGGCAUCCUCUUGAAACCAAAGCUUAAUGUGCUGAAAGAUGGUCUCGCGUCUGAUUAGCUAGUUGGUGAGGUAACGGCUCACCAAGGCGACGAUGGGUAGCCGGCCUGAGAGGGUGAACGGCCACACUGGAACUGAGACACGGUCCAG